UGCAACAUGCCAGGCUGCAUCAAUCAUGCUGCGUUAUGUUCUGUCACAUAACAUAACACAAUAUGACUGAUGCCACCCAACAUGACAUGC